rnacentral:rRNA from 2 species
GAGGUUAAGCGACUAAGCGUACACGGUGGAUGCCCUGGCAGUCAGAGGCGAUGAAGGGCGUGCUAAUCUGCGAUAAGCGCCGGUAAGGUGAUAUGAACCGUUAUAACCGGCGAUACCCGAAUGGGGAAACCCAGUGUGACUCGUCACACUAUCAUUAACUGAAUCCAUAGGUUAAUGAGGCGAACCGGGGGAACUGAAACAUCUAAGUACCCCGAGGAAAAGAAAUCAACCGAGAUUCCCCCAGUAGCGGCGAGCGAACGGGGAGGAGCCCAGAGCCUGAAUCAGCAUGUGUGUUAGUGGAAGCGUCUGGAAAGGCGCGCGAUACAGGGUGACAGCCCCGUACACAAAAGCGCAUGUGCUGUGAGCUCGAUGAGUAGGGCGGGACACGUGGUAUCCUGUCUGAAUAUGGGGGGACCAUCCUCCAAGGCUAAAUACUCCUGACUGACCGAUAGUGAACCAGUACCGUGAGGGAAAGGCGAAAAGAACCCCGGCGAGGGGAGUGAAAAAGAACCUGAAACCGUGUACGUACAAGCAGUGGGAGCACCCUUUGGGUGUGACUGCGUACCUUUUGUAUAAUGGGUCAGCGACUUAUAUUCUGUAGCAAGGUUAACCGAAUAGGGGAGC